rnacentral:rRNA from 1 species
AUGGUUAAGUGACUAAGCGUACACGGUGGAUGCCUUGGCAGUCAGAGGCGAUGAAAGACGUAGUAACUUGCGAUAAGCCCAGAUUAGGUAGUAACAACCAUUUGAGUCUGGGAUUUCUGAAUGGGGAAACCCACGUGCAUAAGCACGUAUCAUUAACUGAAUACAUAGGUUAAUGAGGCGAACCGGGGGAACUGAAACAUCUAAGUACCCCGAGGAAAAGAAAUCAACCGAGAUUCCGAAAGUAGCGGCGAGCGAAAUUGGAUUAGCCCUUAAGCGUUUUAUGCGUCAGGUGAAACUUCUGGAAAGUUGUGCGAUACAGGGUGAUAGCCCCGUAACCGGCAACGCAUAUUAGGUGAAAACGAGUAGGGCGGGACACGUGUUAUCCUGUCUGAAUAUGGGGGGACCAUCCUCCAAGGCUAAAUACUACUGACUGACCGAUAGUGAACCAGUACCGUGAGGGAAAGGCGAAAAGAACCCCUGUGAGGGGAGUGAAAUAGAACCUGAAACCGUGUACGUACAAGCAGUAGGAGCAGGCAUUGCGUCCUGUGACUGCGUACCUUUUGUAUAAUGGGUCAGCGACUUAAUUUUAGUAGCAAGGUUAACCAUCUAGGGGAGCCGUAGGGAAACCGAGUCUUAACUGGGCGUAUAGUUGCUAGAAUUAGACCCGAAACCAGGUGAUCUAGCCAUGGGCAGGUUGAAGAUUGAGUAACAUCAAUUGGAGGACCGAACCGACUAAUGUUGAAAAAUUAGCGGAUGACUUGUGGCUAGGGGUGAAAGGCCAAUCAAACCUGGAGAUAGCUGGUUCUCCCCGAAAGCUAUUUAGGUAGCGCCUCGGACGAAUACUACUGGGGGUAGAGCACUGUUAAGGCUAGGGGGUCAUCCCGACUUACCAACCCUUUGCAAACUCCGAAUACCAGUAAGUACUAUCCGGGAGACACACGGCGGGUGCUAACGUCCGUCGUGGAGAGGGAAACAACCCAGACCGCCAGCUAAGGUCCCAAAUUAUUACUAAGUGGGAAACGAUGUGGGAAGGCUUAGACAGCUAGGAUGUUGGCUUAGAAGCAGCCAUCAUUUAAAGAAAGCGUAAUAGCUCACUAGUCGAGUCGGCCUGCGCGGAAGAUGUAACGGGGCUAAGUAAUAAACCGAAGCUGCGGCAAUGAAGUUUACUUCAUUGGGUAGGGGAGCGUUCUGUAAGCGGUUGAAGGUGUGCUGUAAGGCAUGCUGGACGUAUCAGAAGUGCGAAUGCUGACAUGAGUAACGAUAAAGGGGGUGAAAAACCUCCUCGCCGGAAGACCAAGGGUUCCUGUCCAACGUUAAUCGGGGCAGGGUAAGUCGACCCCUAAGGCGAGGCCGAAAGGCGUAGUCGAUGGGAAACGGGUUAAUAUUCCCGUACUUCUUAUAAUUGCGAUGGGGGGACGGAGAAGGCUAGGUGGGCCUGGCGACGGUUGUCCAGGUUCAAGUACGUAGGCGG